UCCUGCUUGGUUGGUUCUUCCGAUCCCGAUUUUUGUCGCCGCACCCAUAUGUCCCCGAAAACUCCGCCACUACCACACGGGUAAGGGAUGAGGAGGUUCGACUUUCGAGCUCAUCGACAGUUUCUUCCCAACUCGCUCGGUUGCUGCACAAUGGCGACCCCCGAUGUCUUUUCUUGGAUGCCGCUGCGGCGUUGCGCCGUUGCUGCCAUCGGGCAGCGGGGUCAUGGCAGAAAGGCGGAUCCAGCCCGUGUGCGCUCGCCGAGCUGGGUGGUGUGGCCGUGUGGGUGCUGCGCCAGCCGCUAUUAAUGGGGCCGGGAAGAACUGGCGUAUGACCACCACGACAUCCGCGGUAGCAGCCGAGUCGCCGUCAAGUGUCUCGACGACCACAGGCCUGACAAGGAGGACGCGACGGAGCAUUGGCGGAUGGGGACGGUGGCGUGGCCUCAGUGAUCCGUGAACCAUGGCUAGCUAGUUGCUGGUCUCAGUGUGGUCCUCCUCCCAUCAAAUCGACUAGCAUGUUUGGGUGGAUGAACUAUCGAUGAUGCCGAUGGCCUGAUGCUUGCUCCAUGUUUGGGUGAAUAUCCCCUGGAGUUCUCUCGCAUGGCUAUGAGUUUCUUCAAUAAUGGCAGAUUGUUUAUAAUGUUAAAUUGCCUGUGUAGAUGGAUAAAUUCACAAGUUGUGGGUAAUCCAUUAGAUAGUGAUAGGAUUUCUUCAAAUGAUAGCAUAUCUUUUUGCAGUAUGUAUAGGCAGGUACCUGUCAGAUUAUACUGAAUUUUCAUUUGACAUGUCAUGGCUUGAUGGUGGGGAUAGAUAUUCAUGUAGUAUACUUGCAAAAUAAAAUAGAUUAGUAAAAUCUGUAAUUCACUUCUAUUUUUUAAAAUGGGUCGUACUUUGUUAUGUAUAAAUCUCAUGUCCUCGACACCUCCAGACCAAUGGCAAUGCAUGGAAUUGUGAGAUUGAUCUAUGCAAAGCCUUCUGCAUGCUCCUCUCCUGCUCAUUUAGUAAGCACGGAAUUGUGAGAUUGACCUACGCAAAGCCUUCUGCAUGCUUCUGUCUUGCUCAUGUAGUUUAUACUGUCCGUACUGUGUGGACCUAUUUCCUUGGGAACUAUCAUUUUGAUCUGACAGUUUACAAUAAGAGAUCAAGCAUGCUACCUCUUGAAUGGGUUCAAAUCUUUCUAGUAGGAACAAAAUUGGUUCUUAUAUUUUUUUACUCCUUGUCCAUUCCAACUUCUCUGCCAUAUUGUUUUAUAGUUUCUGUUUGUGAGUACAACCGAAUUAAAUACACCUAUUGGGCUAUGACUGUGAAAAGAAUGUGAGGAUUAUAUGGAGAACAGGACAAAUCUGCUCUGCCAUAUCCUACUAUUGUUUCGCUGAUGCAAUUAGCAGAUGCAUUCCGAGACAAGUUUCCAAAUUCGAAGUUUGUUUAUUCUAUUUAUUAACACUUGCUUCCAAUUUGAUCCUCAUGAUCCCAUUAAUAAUGGUGAAUAAAUGGAUGGGAUCCUUAAAUAGGGUAUUCUUCGAAUGUUCAGGUUUGGAUAUUCAAUCUGUAUAUGCAUCUUUAAAUUUCAGAACUGAAUCAUGAGAAUUAUCUUGUUCAUUGCAGGUCAAUGUUGGAUGUCCUCAUGACAAGCUCCUACAACGUUGGUUCAGCCAUGUUCAAUCCUUGGAGUUGGAUUAUUGCUUAGUGGGUCGAGGAUCAUAGAAGGCACGCCUGCUAACUGAGAAAGAUGCAGAACGGCAGCAGAACUAGAACUCUUUAAAAGGAUGCUGAACGGCGAUAGAACUAAUAAGGUCUUGCUUGAAGUCUGGAAGCUGGUUUGCACAUUGUUUUUUACAAAAACAUGACUAGUUUGCACUUGGAGUAUUUGCAGAGGAAUGGUGUUGCUGCAUCUUAUUAUUACAUGGCAGAAUGCUUGUAUCAUAUUGAGGAUCAGAUUCAGAGCAAGCGAGAACCGCGCGUAGCACGGUUGGUAGGAGCCAGUGGAUGGCUCCCUACCAGCCAGCGUUCGAGUCUCACUCGACACUGGUUUCUCACAAAAAAAUCCCCUCGUCUGCCCCAUGUGCCAAAGCACAGUUGGGCCUGCCUCUUGUCGUUGAUCCCCCCAUGUGCGUGAAUCGCCCAUUCUCACGGGUGCGGGCACUGUGUACGGGUGGGGCAGGAAUUCGGUGGUUUUCUCGACCUGUGUGAAAAAAUUCUUCUUUGGUGAAAAUGCUGUGGAGGCAGUCUUACCCCCCACACGUCGAGUUCUUUAGGAUCAGAGCAAGCAUGCCGACAUGCUGAGUACGGAACCAGGCUUAUACCAGACAUCAAGCUAAUAGUUAUUGCCUCAUCUGCGUUUGGCUCAUAAAGUGCUGCCUGGGCUUCGUUACAAACUCCAAUGCCAUCUUGGUCCCUGUCAGGCGCGUGGAGCACGGAUUCCUUCCCUAUGAACUUGUCGUGCUUAUUGGCACUUAAUUUUGUAAUUUCCCAAAUCUAUUGAGUGCGAAAACUAUCAGUCAUGUAUGUUGCAGAUGCAUGUGGUCAAACAUAAAAAGGUUUUAUGAAAUCAAAUUGGCCGUGUAAUCGACUUUAUGGUACUAUUUGUGUCCAUGUUGCAGCAGUAAAAUCUUGAUGUAUUCAUGGUA